rnacentral:rRNA from 1 species
UACCAGCACCCCGAGUGGUCGGGACGUUUAUUGGGCCUAAAGCAUCCGUAGCCGGUUCUGCAAGUCUUCCGUUAAAUCCACCUGCUUAACAGAUGGGCCGCGGAAGAUACUAUAGAGCUAGGAGGCGGGAGAGGCAAGCGGUACUCGAUGGGUAGGGGUAAAAUCCGUUGGAUCCAUUGGAAGAACCACCACGUUGCGAAGGCGGCAUUGCCA